GACGAACGCUGGCGGCGUGCCUAAUACAUGCAAGUCGAGCGAGUCUGCCUUGAAGAUCGGAGUGCUUGCACUCUGUGAAACAAGAUACAGGCUAGCGGCGGACGGGUGAGUAACACGUGGGUAACCUGCCCAAGAGAUCGGGAUAACACCUGGAAACAGAUGCUAAUACCGGAUAACAACAGAUGAUGCCUAUCAACUGUUUAAAAGAUGGUUCUGCUAUCACUCUUGGAUGGACCUGCGGUGCAUUAGCUAGUUGGUAGGGUAACGGCCUACCAAGGCGAUGAUGCAUAGCCGAGUUGAGAGACUGAUCGGCCACAUUGGGACUGAGACACGGCCCAAACUCCUACGGGAGGCAGCAGUAGGGAAUCUUCCACAAUGGACGCAAGUCUGAUGGAGCAACGCCGCGUGAGUGGAGAAGGGUUUCGGCUCGUAAAGCUCUGUUGUUGGUGAAGAAGGACAGGGGUAGUAACUGACCUUUGUUUGACGGUAAUCAAUUAGAAAGUCACGGCUAACUACGUGCCAGCAGCCGCGGUAAUACGUAGGUGGCAAGCGUUGUCCGGAUUUAUUGGGCGUAAAGCGAGUGCAGGCGGCUCGAUAAGUCUGAUGUGAAAGCCUUCGGCUCAACCGGAGAAUUGCAUCAGAAACUGUCGAGCUUGAGUACAGAAGAGGAGAGUGGAACUCCAUGUGUAGCGGUGAAAUGCGUAGAUAUAUGGAAGAACACCGGUGGCGAAGGCGGCUCUCUGGUCUGUUACUGACGCUGAGGCUCGAAAGCAUGGGUAGCGAACAGG
rnacentral:rRNA from 1 species